UGGUGGGUUUCAAAGGGAACAGGCUGGAUGUUUCUGAAUGUUCUUCAUGUCAGUGUCAUGGAUCAGUGUGAUUUUGUGUGGGUUUUUUUAUGUCUUAUAGUGAAAUGCACAUUGCUUUAACAGGCGUGUAUUUGAAAGGUGAUAAUGGGACCCAUUAUGAUUUCCUGAACAUAACUACAGUUCAAGAUCACUUUGUGUUUCCUUUCUGUAAUAGCAAUGUGAGAAAUAAAAGGAACAGUAAAAUGGUGCUUUGUUACUGCACUUACCUGCUUGGUACAUGUCUUUUAAUGGCAUUUGCUUUGAAUUCUGUCAAGAAUAAGCUGUAACUAUUUGUCAGCUUUCGAAAAGCAAUGUAAGUCUAGCAGAGCAAGGCAAAUUCAUGCAUCUUCUGUUGUUUUUUUACUGGAUUCUGAGAAAUCUAAAUUACUGUAUUAGAGAGUCAUUAUACCUAACUUUCAGCACCAAUAAAUUAGGCAUCUAAUCUAAACUACUCUCAUGUGCUCUCUCACCUUUAAGUGGUGAAUCACCCCUUCUAUCCAAGAAACUUAUUUUAGGAGGAUGAGUCAUUCUCCAGAAGUGGACACAUGCUUCCAGUGACUCUCAAGGAGGGUAAGCUUCAACUAGGGGGCUAACUGUCUCAAUUAAUCCCCUAGUCACAUCUCCGAAGCUGCAUGCAGAGAUGAAAAUGCCACCCUGCAAACCUCCAAAGCCAGCAUCAGCUAAAGUCAUAAUUACUUCAAUACACAGUGUUUUUUAAAGUAACACCUUCUGGAAGGAUUUUCUUCACUGGAGAGUUCAGAUGAAGAAUUAUCUGUUAAAUUUGACUGACCUUGUAAGUGCGAAUCCUUUCUGAAGCUUAGUAGGUAGAAAGGAGUAGAUGAGAGCUCUCUAACCCCAAACUGACAGGAUAUUCAUCAUAUCUGGAUUAGGUCCCCUGUCUACAAAGUACAGAAAAUGAUAUUAAUAUCGAAUUAUAUCCAGACUUGAUCUUCCAA